GGAGGGAUGGCAGAGUGGUUGAUCGCACCUGUCUUGAAAACAGGCAUGCCUUCACGGGCAUCGGGGGUUCGAAUCCUCCUCCCUCCG
rnacentral:tRNA from 4 species